UCCGUAGGGUGCAAGCGUUGUCCGGAAUUAUUGGGCGUAAAGAGCUCGUAGGCGGUUUGUCGCGUCUGCUGUGAAAACUCGGGGCUUAACUCCGGGCCUGCAGUGGGUACGGGCAGACUAGAGUGCGGUAGGGGAGACUGGAAUUCCUGGUGUAGCGGUGAAAUGCGCAGAUAUCAGGAGGAACACCGGUGGCGAAGGCGGGUCUCUGGGCCGUAACUGACGCUGAGGAGCGAAAGCGUGGGGAGCGAACAGG
rnacentral:rRNA from 1 species